rnacentral:pre_miRNA from 1 species
AAAGUAAUUAUGCAGCCAAGAAUGACUUGCCUCACUCUUCGUUAUCAGUAUCAUUAUAUACAAGAGAUGGAAAAUAAGCAAACGAAAGAUGAUAAUGAAUAAGAAGAAGGAGUUGGCAAGUUACUCUUGGCUACAUGUCUCUUUCU